UACGUAGGGGGCGAGCGUUGUCCGGAGUUACUGGGCGUAAAGGGCACGCAGGCGGUCUGCCGCGUUUCGGGUGACAGCGGAGGGCUUAACUCUCCGAGUGGUCGAAAGACGGGCAGACUUGAGUUCGGCAGGGGAGACUGGAAUUCCUGGUGUAGCGGUGAAAUGCGCAGAUAUCAGGAGGAACACCGGUGGCGAAGGCGGGUCUCUGGGCCGAUACUGACGCUGAGGAGCGAAAGCGUGGGGAGCGAACAGG
rnacentral:rRNA from 1 species